AAGCAAUACUAAUAUAAGGAAUACCACUCAAAGAGAUCAAAGAUUCUUGAUGUUGGAUCCUGGAAUAUUUCUCUUGACAAGAAUUUACCUACAUGAUAAAAUAUGUAUCACAAGCACUAAGGGCUAUAGCUCAGUUGGUAGAGCAACUCGUUUACACGCGCGCCAAUGUUUUUCAAGGGAGUUCAUCAUACAAUCAGAAAAAUUGAUCUUGUUGAGAAAUCGAUGUCUUACUCCAUAACUUUGAGGGAACCAUAGCCUGACAAAGGGUUCGGUCCAAUUUGGACGCCCAUUUAGGAGGUGCCAAACAGACCCCAUCAUUGAUUUGAGAUCUUGAUAAGGUGAAUACCCAGUCUAUUCAAUGCUAGGCCAUAAUGAGUAUAAGGACCUCAAAAAAAUCUCUUUUCGUCAUAUGAACUUUAAGGUGUAUGAAGUUUCAUAUUUGAUUUUUAAGCAGAACGAUAGAGACUUCAUUUAACUUAGGUUGAUCUAGGCCAGAGACAGACCUACGUCAAGAUAAUCCCACCUUUGAAACACUUUGGUAAUGCUCCCAAAUAAUGAAUCAGAGCACAUGGAGCCAUUUCCUUAUCUUUUUUUAUGUCAAGAAAAAAAAUGGCAGACUAACUGAUAUUUAGAUCAGUUAAUGAAGGAGCCCAAUGCAAAAAAAAUGCAUGUUGGGUCUUUGAAACAGUUCAGAUCAUUUUAAUAAUAAGAAGUUUGAUCUGUUUUACCGAGAAGGUCUACGGUUCGAGUCCGUAUAGCCCUAUAAAAAUGAAAAAUGCAAAAAAAAAAUUGUAUAAUUUGCAUUUCUUCAUUAUUAUUUCUUGCUUGUAACUAAAUGAAACCCAAUUAUUCCUAUAAGUUUACUCACGGCAAUCGUUUAAGCAGAUGAAAGAAAAAACGCAUAUCAAUGGAUCCAAUAGAUAUUGAUUUUUGCAAUUGCAGAUAAACAAACCAACCUUUCGUCAUUAAUCUUCGGAGGCGAAUUACAUAUUCAUAUCUACAAUAAAAGAAUUAGUGAGACUCCCUUUCUUUUGAUAUCCCCAAUCUUAUUGAAUUUUGGAAGUCAACUCAUUUCACGGGCCUGGUGAAAUGCAAAACUACGACGAGGAAUUCACAUGGAUUUAGGAAAGGCCUGCUGUAUUUGUGUACAAGCUAAGGUUUUUUGAAAAAUGAAUAUCUUUGGUCACUUUCAUUGUCAAAUAGGCUUUUCCUUCGUAUACCUUACUUACCUCGACCUAGCGAAGCACAACAAAAAAGGUAGUCUUCUUUUUCUGUAUUCAACCAAGAAAAACCCCUCCACCUGGAUUCGAAUCCUAAUACUAUUAUUAAAUAUUAAUUCAAUAAUAAUAAAAGGAAUAUACCAACACAAGAUCUUCUAAAUCUUGAGAUGGCAAUUCCUAUACAUUCUCUUCUAUUUGCUUACGUGUUCUAUUCUAAAUCACUAAGAAAAAAAUGAAAAUAAAGACCUCCUGAUUCUAUUUAUAGAAAUAAAUAGAAAUCUUUAAAGAAUUUAUAAUUAAAGAAGAAAUCAGAUAAGUAAUUAAUUUAGAAUUCCCCGUUUUUAGAGAAAAAAACAAGAGAAACAGGAGAAUUUGUCGAAGAGUAAUAUAUAGUUAGAAGGUUCUACUAACUAAAUAAAAUGGAAAUAAGUAUAAUGGAAAUAAAAUCGGAUUCCAGUCGAUGAAUCUUGCAAUGAGAUAUGCCCUACAAUAAACCAAUAAACAAAGCAAACUAGUCGGUUCGACCAAAAUGAAUUCUUGUUUUGACUAAAUAGUUAUGGAUGACUUGACAAUUCCAAUUCGAAUCGACCAAUUGAAUCCGGUAUAUUUUCCACGUUCAUAGGAGUGCGUUUAUGUUUCUGCUUUACGAAUAUGAUUUUUUUUGGGCAUUUCUAAUAAUAUCCAUCCUUGUUCCUAUUUUGGCAUUUUUCAUUUCCGGAGUGUUAGCCCCGAUUAGCAAAGGGCCAGAGAAACUUUCUACUUAUGAGUCGGGUAUAGAACCAAUGGGCGAUGCUUGGUUACAAUUUCGAAUCCGUUAUUAUAUGUUUGCUCUAGUUUUUGUUGUUUUUGAUGUUGAAACGGUUUUUCUUUAUCCAUGGGCAAUGAGUUUCGACGUAUUGGGUGUAUCUGUAUUUAUAGAAGCUUUCAUUUUCGUGCUUAUCUUAAUUAUUGGUUUAGUUUAUGCAUGGCGAAAGGGGGCAUUGGAAUGGUCUUAGCUCCUGAAUAUUCAGACAAUAAAAAGAAAAACGGAAAAAAUAAGAUUGAGACAGUUAUGAAUUCCAUUCAGUUUCCUUUACUUGAUCGAACAGCCCCAAAUUCAGUUAUUUCAACUACAUUAAAUGAUCUUUCAAAUUGGUCAAGACUCUCUAGUUUAUGGCCGCUUCUCUAUGGUACCAGUUGUUGCUUCAUUGAAUUUGCUUCACUAAUAGGCUCACGCUUCGACUUUGAUCGUUAUGGACUCGUACCAAGAUCGAGUCCUAGACAAUCGGAUCUAAUUUUAACAGCCGGAACAGUAACAAUGAAAAUGGCCCCCUCUUUAGUGAGAUUAUAUGAGCAAAUGCCCGAACCAAAAUAUGUUAUUGCUAUGGGAGCCUGUACAAUUACAGGCGGGAUGUUCAGUACCGAUUCUUAUAGUACUGUUCGGGGAGUCGAUAAGCUAAUUCCUGUAGAUGUAUAUUUGCCAGGUUGUCCACCUAAACCGGAAGCGGUUAUAGAUGCUAUAACAAAACUUCGUAAGAAAAUAUCUCGAGAACUCUAUGAAGAUCGAAUUAGGUCUCAACGAGCGAAUCGGUGUUUUACUACCAACCACAAGUUUCAUGUUCGACGCAGUAUUCAUACGGGAAAUUAUGAUCAAAGAGUUCUUUAUCAACCACCAUCUACUUCAGAGAUCCCUACGGAAAUCUUUUUCAAAUACAAAAAUUCAGUAUCUUCCGCCGAAUUAGUGAAUUAGACAGGAUUCCUUUGUCCAGAAUAAGAAGCGGUGGGUCAAUUUUCAUAAAUUUCAUCGUAAAUGUGAAAUACUUAUACAAAUAAAAAUGCGGGAGAGAUAAAAAAGAUGCAGGGUCGUUUGUCUGCUUGGCUAGUCAAGCAUGGGCUAAUUCAUAGAUCUUUGGGCUUUGAUUACCAAGGAAUAGAGACUUUACAAAUAAAGCCCGAGGAUUGGCAUUCCAUUGCUGUCAUUUUUUAUGUAUAUGGGUACAACUAUCUACGCUCUCAAUGUGCCUACGAUGUAGCGCCUGGCGGGCUGUUAGCUAGUGUGUAUCAUCUUACGAGAAUAGAGGAUGGUGUGGCUCAACCAGAAGAGCUAUGCAUAAAAGUAUUUGCCUCCAGGAGGAAUCCUAGAAUUCCGUCUGUUUUCUGGGUUUGGAAAAGCGUGGAUUUUCAAGAACGAGAAUCAUAUGAUAUGUUGGGAAUCUCUUACGAUAAUCAUCCACGCUUGAAACGUAUCUUAAUGCCUGAAAGUUGGAUAGGAUGGCCCUUACGUAAGGAUUAUAUUGCCCCCAAUUUUUAUGAAAUACAAGAUGCUCAUUGAAUGAUAAGAAAGCUAUUUCCACUUAGACAAUUUCAGAUAUUCAAGGAUUGCACGUUUUGUUAUAGAUUAAGUCUAACAACAAAAGACAAUUAGGGAUUCAUUGGAAUUCUCACAUUUAGUUGGAAGAUACUUCUUUCGGAUGGGUCACACCAAUAGGAUGAACCAAAUGAGUUCUGCAUCAUGAACUUUGUACUGCGCACAUUACUUAGACGGGUUCUAGAAAGGCAUAUAGGAAGGAAUGGAGAAAUCGAGAAUAAAGAAAUUUAAUAUGAAAGAAAAGCCAAAGAAAUGAGAUAAUAUCGGAUUCUAUUUCUUUGGAUCUGAGCUGAAUCUUGUCUAUUUCAACCCCCCUAGAUUCGGAUUCUACUUUUGAGCCUUUCCACAAUUAACUAAUUUUACCUUUCUAAUAUGUAUUACGUAUUCAAAUUCGUUUGAACAAGAGGAGAAAAAAAGAGGAGAUAGAAUCCAAUUCUUUUAGAUACUUUAUCUAAGAAACCCUACCCAUCUAUGUUCUAGAUGGGGUAUAUCUCGCUAAACUGGAUAAAGCUAUUAUUCUAAUCUAGACUAUAAAAAAUAUGUAUGUGGAUUCAUAUCAAUUAAUUAGAAAUUCAUUCUAGGGAAGAGAGACCCAUACAAAUUAAUCAUGUGCCAAGAACCAGAUUUGAACUGGUGACACGAGGAUUUUCAGUCCUCUGCUCUACCAACUGAGCUAUCCCGGCUAUUCCCAAUCUCGAUUGGAACCGCUAACAUGAGGAUUUAGAGUCCUUUCCGUAGUAUCCUCAUUUUAUCAUAUAACUGGGGUCUAUGUCAAUUAAAAGGACAAAAGUCGAUUAAAAAAUUUUAUCAAAGCCGGGGGAUUUCUUCGAUCUUCAAAAAGAUGACUUUGUAAGUUUCAGUAUGAGUAAUGAUAUUGUAUUGAUCGGGAAUCAUUCAACUAGGGAUUCCUUGCUCAAAGAUGUUCAUUUCUAUGUGUAUCAUAGAUAUCAAAUUGUGAUAAGAGAAAGCCAUUUACGCUUAGAAAAAAAAUCCAUUUCUAAAAGAAUAGAGUGAAUGAGAAAGAUAAGGAAUUUGGAACCGCUAAGGAAAGGGGGUCGGAUAAAUAGUUGGGGAGUUAAAUAGUCUUUUUGGGGAUAGAGGGACUUGAACCCUCACGAUUUUUAAAGUCGACGGAUUUUCCUUUUACUAUAAAUUUCAUUGUUGCCGGUAUUGACAUGUAGAACGGGACUCUAUCUUUAUUCUCGUCCGAUUAAUCAGUUCUUCAAAAGAUCUAUCAGACUAUGGAGUGAAUGAUUUGAUCAAUGAAUAUUCGAUUCUUUCUUCAAUGUAGAAUGGAUUCACACCAAUUCUUCGAUUUUUUAUAGAAAAACUACGGAUUCGGGUCGUCAUUAAUCAUUUGAUAUAGUAUUCAAUACGUAUGUAUAUACGUUUAUCCUUCACUUCAUUCUUUUUCUUUCUGAAGUUUCGAUGUAAAGAGUCCUCUACGAACGCAUUUAACUCCAUUUGUUAGAAUAGCUUCCAUUGAGUCUCUGCACCUAUCCUUUUUUUCUGAACCUUGGUUUGUUUUCAGAAAACAGGAUUUGGCUCAGGAUUGCCCAUUUUUGUUAAUUCCAGGGUUUCUCUGAAUUUGAAAGUGAUCACUUAGUAAGUUUCCAUACCAAGGCUCAAUCCAAUUAAGUCCGUAGCGUCUACCAAUUUCGCCAUAUCCCCCUUUCUUUUUGUUUUGAGAUUAGGAUCUCGUUGUGAUUUCAUUCCUUUUUAUUUUUCUUUCAUUUAUACUGGAACCAUUGAAUUCAUUAGAUACCGAUUCCUAUCUCGAAAACGCGUUUUCUCCUCUUUGAUUUUAUUAACUAUCUUCUAUAGGAGACCCUUUUUUUGUCCAAUCAAAAAUGAUUUUAUCAUUUCGGAAUCCGCAAUUCAAUAUAGAUGGAUAUAUACCCGAUCUAUAUGUCUCGCUUCCUGUCAUUUUGCCAUUCAAUUUGGAAUACUUGAACGAUCGAUUCUUGUUUUUUAUCUU
rnacentral:lncRNA from 1 species